UACGUAGGGUGCAAGCGUUGUCCGGAAUUAUUGGGCGUAAAGAGCUCGUAGGCGGUCUGUCGCGUCUGGUGUGAAAAUCCAGGGCUUAACCCUGGACCUGCAUCGGGUACGGGCAGACUAGAGUGCGGUAGGGGAGAUCGGAAUUCCUGGUGUAGCGGUGAAAUGCGCAGAUAUCAGGAGGAACACCAGCGGCGAAGGCGGCGCUCUGGGCCGGUACUGACACUGAGGAGCGAAAGCGUGGGUAGCAAACAGG
rnacentral:rRNA from 1 species